UACGAAGGUUGCAAGCGUUACUCGGAAUUAUUGGGCGUAAAGAGCUUGUAGGCGGUCUGUCGCGUCUGCUGUGAAAAUCCGGGGCUCAACCCCGGACUUGCAGUGGGUACGGGCAGACUAGAGUGUGGUAGGGGAGACUGGAAUUCCUGGUGUAGCGGUGAAAUGCGCAGAUAUCAGGAGGAACACCGAUGGCGAAGGCAGGUCUCUGGGCCACUACUGACGCUGAGAAGCGAAAGCAUGGGGAGCGAACAGG
rnacentral:rRNA from 1 species